UACGUAGGCAGCAAGCGUUGUUCGGAGUUACUGGGCGUAAAGAGUGCGUAGGCGGUUUCGUAAGUUUGGUGUGAAAUCUCCCGGCUUAACUGGGAGGGUGCGCCGAAAACUGCGGGGCUGGAGUAGGGGAGAGGUAAGCGGAAUUCCUGGUGUAGCGGUGAAAUGCGUAGAUAUCGGGAGGAACACCAGUGGCGAAGGCGGCUACCUGGCACACAACUGACGCUGAUCCGCGAAAGCGUGGGGAGCGAACCGG
rnacentral:rRNA from 1 species